rnacentral:misc_RNA from 1 species
GAUGAAGAACGCAGCGAAAUGCGAUAAGUAAUGCGAAUUGCAGAAUCCGUGAGUCAUCGAAUCUUUGAACGCACAUUGCGCCCGCCAGUAUUCUGGCGGGCAUGCCUGUUCGAGCGUCAUUUCAACCAUCAAGCCCCCGGGCUUGUGUUGGGGACCUGCGGCUGCCCGCAGGCCCUGAAAACCAGUGGCGGGCUCGCUGUCACACCGAGCGUAGUAGCAUCAUCUCGCUCAGGGCGUGCUGCGGGUUCCGGCCGUUAAAAAGCCUCUAAUACCCAAGGUUGACCUCGGAUCAGGUAGGAAGACCCGCUGAACUUAAGCAUAUCAAUAAGCGGAGGA